GAUGAACGCUAGCGACAGGCCUAACACAUGCAAGUCGAGGGGCAGCACAAGGAGCAAUCUGAGGUGGCGACCGGCGCACGGGUGAGUAACACGUAUGCAACCUACCCGUAAGAGGGGGAUAACCCGUUGAAAGACGGACUAAUACCGCAUAAUACUGAAUAACCGCAUGGUUAAUCAGUUAAACAUUUAUGGCUUACAGAUGGGCAUGCGCAUGAUUAGCUAGUUGGUGAGGUAACGGCUCACCAAGGCAACGAUCAUUAGGGGUUCUGAGAGGAAGGUCCCCCACACUGGUACUGAGACACGGGACCAGACUCCUACGGGAGGCAGCAGUGAGGAAUAUUGGUCAAUGGGCGAGAGCCUGAACCAGCCAAGUCGCGUGAAGGAUGAAGGUUUUAUGAAUUGUAAACUUCUUUUGCAGGGGAAUAAAGUGCGGUACGUGUACCGUUUGUAUGUACUCUGCGAAUAAGGAUCGGCUAACUCCGUGCCAGCAGCCG
rnacentral:rRNA from 1 species